rnacentral:lncRNA from 1 species
UUCCUUUUUAGCCCUUUCACCUCAAGUCACAUUUGUUUGCAGACACCACAUCACCAGGACCCCACCAAUAAGACCCAACACUGCCUCCUCAUUUUCCCCGUGAUUUGAGGGGAAGAAAAGGCAAAAACACUUAAAUGAAGGAAUCGAAGACAGCCUUUUGGCCAGCAGACCUUGUCAGCCUUGGGUAAUGCUGUGAUGUGUUUUGAAAAAUGCCAGCAGGCUCAGCCUUGAUAUUUAUGACCCUGCUUCUUGGCCUUCCUGGGGAGUGGUGCUCUCUGCUCUUAAAUUUAUGGUCCUUCAGUGCAGUCCCAGACCAACCAGGGGAUUGCAAAUGGGCUGUCUGCUAAUAGUGUGUGCAGAUGGUGUGGGAGGUGGUGUGAUCCUUGGCUCUGGGGUCAGACACAAGUGCUUCUCACCCGGGGAGGGGUGCUCCGGACCUGAGAAGGGUCUCCUCCAUCUUCUCCUUUGCAAAGCCUCAGAGUUUACAGAGGAAUCAAGGUAUGCUAACCACCUCUCACUAUUUUUGACAUGGCUGCACACCAGUUCCACUUUCUUAAUAUUUAUCUUUUAAUCAACUUGUUGCCCCCUGGAGGCCAGACGACCCAUGGGGCAUAAGACAUGAAGUGCAUGUUCCUGCUAUCCCUGGGCCUGGGCUAAAUUAGGUGGGGACCCCCUUCAGGGCCUUUGCAGAGUUUGGAGACAUGGGGAAGAUCAGGAUCCCCACCUGGCCCCUAGAAGGGAGAUCUCUGAAAGACUAGUUGAAGCUAACAAGCUUAACCUCCCCAAGUCCCUAUGUGUCCACCUGAGCUUGACUUUAUUAAAAAGGCAGGUGGAUUUCCUUUUGAGGAGCUCUGCAAAUCUUGGGGUAAGGAGGAGACAUUAGAGUGAGGGUGAUACCUGUGAUGCCCAACGACCAAUCCCAGAAUGACCCAGGCACAAGAAGGUACUGGAAUUCUUCAGAGGGGCACGAGUAACUACCCCACCUGCCAUACAUUUUCAGGUGGAAAACAAAAGUCACACAGCAGUGCAGAUUUCUCCAGGAAGAACUGCAGCUCGGAAGCCAAGUGUGGACCGGGGCCCUGGGAAGAGACUGCUGAGCCAGGAGUUGUCUGGAAUCCUUGUCUGUUGCAGACCCCAUGACCAGUGAGUGCAACCUCACCACAACCAUUGAUGCUGAAUAGGAACCUGCAAAUCCAAUGGCACUGCCAGAAUCAACUGAAUGGCUCUGAGAAGGCAGCCCUCAGAAAUCUGGGAAAUUCUCUCCUAUGGAUGAUCACAGGUUCUGGGAUGCAGAGCAAACAGGGAGCUAAUGGAAGCACUCAGGAUGAUAGAAUUCUAACUUCAUGAAAACAUGUUUGAUUGUGGGUCCCAGUAAAGAUGUCCCAGUUCUCGGCCAGAAUCUUUUCUGAAGACUGAGCUGGAGGAGGUACCCGUUCUGGAAUGGUCUCAAAUGCAACCUGCAGGUUUGGCCCCCUGGAGGAAGUGAGAAGAAUGGAGAUGAACACGUUUCUUGUGUCAUGUCCUCAUUCUGCCCAAGACAC